rnacentral:rRNA from 1 species
AGGAUGAACGCUAGCGGCAGGCCUAAUACAUGCAAGCUGAACGGUAAAUAGUGUAGCAAUACAUUAUGAGAGUAACGUAAGGGUGCGUAACACGUAUGCAAUCUGCCCUGUACAGGAGAAUAGCUCGGGGAAACCCGGAUUAAUGCUCCGUAAUAUUGUUAAGUGGCAUCACAUGACAAUUAAAGUUGCAAGAUGGUACAGGAUGAGCAUGCGUCUGAUUAGCUAGUUGGUAGUGUAACGGACUACCAAGGCGAUGAUCAGUAGGGGAACUGAGAGGUUGACUCCCCCACACUGGCACUGAGAUACGGG